GACACUGGCUGCUCCCUUCACAGUUCUCAGCCCGAGCUCUACCUCAGUGUCUGGAACUCACGGGCACUUGUUCCCAGAGGUGAUGAUAUGUGCACAAAUUUGAGAGAAGAUCCUUUCUGGCAAAGGUGAGGAGCAGCAGUUUUCAUCAGUGGAAGAGCCUUUGAGAAGUCUGACUGUAAAGGAGAGUUUCAGAAUUGCCAGGUACCUGUACCUUGAAAUAGUAUGAGAGGACUUGGACGAGAUGGAGAUGACCACUAAAUACCCUGCUGGAGUGAGGAUCUCGGCCACACGGUAAUCCACAGAGCUGCAUGCACUCGUACUACCACGCCCCUGCCGGGAUGGCAGCACACCCUGAGCACGGGUUACUGUCCCCGCAUGCCUAGACCGUGGGCCUAAGCUAUUUGAGGCAAAUAUAUACAUACAUUAAAAAUGCCCGCUU